AGAGUUUGAUCAUGGCUCAGGACGAACGCUGGCGGCGCGCCUAACACAUGCAAGUCGAACGAGCGAGAGAGAGCUUGCUUUCUCGAGCGAGUGGCGAACGGGUGAGUAACGCGUGAGGAACCUGCCUCAAAGAGGGGGACAACAGUUGGAAACGACUGCUAAUACCGCAUAAGCCACGGCUCGGCAUCGAGCAGAGGGAAAAGGAGUAAUCCGCUUUGAGAUGGCCUCGCGUCCGAUUAGCUAGUUGGUGAGGUAACGGCCACCAAGGCGACGAUCGGUAGCCGGACUGAGAGGUUGAACGGCCACAUUGGGACUGAGACGCGGCCCAGACUCCUACGGGAGGCA
rnacentral:rRNA from 1 species